GGGGAUUCAGCUGCUAGAGAUGACGAGCGGCGGACGGGUGAGUAAUACUUAGGAAUCUACCUAGUAGUGGGGGAUAGCUCGGGGAAACUCGAAUUAAUACCGCAUACGACCUACGGGAGAAAGGGGGCAACUUGUUGCUCUCGCUAUUAGAUGAGCCUAAGUCGGAUUAGCUAGAUGGUGGGGUAAAGGCCUACCAUGGCGACGAUCUGUAGCUGGUCUGAGAGGAUGAUCAGCCACACCGGGACUGAGACACGGCCCGGACUCCUACGGGAGGCAGCAGUGGGGAAUAUUGGACAAUGGGGGAAACCCUGAUCCAGCCAUGCCGCGUGUGUGAAGAAGGCCUUUUGGUUGUAAAGCACUUUAAGCAGUGAAGAAGACUCUUCGGUUAAUACCCGGAGACGAUGACAUUAGCUGCAGAAUAAGCACCGGCUAACUCUGUGCCAGCAGCCGCGGUAAUACAGAGGGUGCAAGCGUUAAUCGGAAUUACUGGGCGUAAAGCGAGCGUAGGUGGCUUGAUAAGUCAGAUGUGAAAUCCCCGGGCUUAACCUGGGAACUGCAUCUGAUACUGUCAGGCUAGAGUAGGUGAGAGGAAGGUAGAAUUCCAGGUGUAGCGGUGAAAUGCGUAGAGAUCUGGAGGAAUACCGAUGGCGAAGGCAGCCUUCUGGCAUCAUACUGACACUGAGGCUCGAAAGCGUGGGUAGCAAACAGGAUUAGAUACCCUGGUAGUCCACGCCGUAAACGAUGUCUACUAGUCGUUGGGUCCCUUGAGGACUUAGUGACGCAGCUAACGCAAUAAGUAGACCGCCUGGGGAGUACGGCCGCAAGGUUAAAACUCAAAUGAAUUGACGGGGGCCCGCACAAGCGGUGGAGCAUGUGGUUUAAUUCGAUGCAACGCGAAGAACCUUACCUGGUCUUGACAUAUCUAGAAUCCUGCAGAGAUGCGGGAGUGCCUUCGGGAAUUAGAAUACAGGUGCUGCAUGGCUGUCGUCAGCUCGUGUCCUGAGAUGUUGGGUUAAGUCCCGCAACGAGCGCAACCCUUGUCCUUAGUUACCAGCGGGUUAAGCCCGGGAACUCUAAAGGAUACUGGCCAGUGAACAAACUGGAAGAAAGGCGGGGGACCAACUUCCAAGUCAUCAUGGGCCCUUUACGACCAGGGGCUACACACCUUGCUCCAAUGGGUAGGUACAAGAGGGGCACUUCACACCGCGGAUUGGUAUCGGAAUCUUCAAAAAGCCCUAUCGGGAAUCCCCAAAUUGGGAGGUUGGGCAACCUCCC
rnacentral:rRNA from 1 species